ACGCUAGUUUAGUAUUGAGUUUGAGGAAUGAAUACUGGUUUAAGUGCAUGUUUUAUGUCUCACCUUGUGCCUUUUUUAAACCAUUUAUUGACUACUUAUUUUGUUCUCCAGACUGUUUAGGUAGGCGGUUGGGACCGAGGCUUCUUGGGAAGGUUGAUGAUUCAGGGGUAAAUAACAGGUUGGUCAAUGCUUUAUUAUUUUGGUUGUUUGUGCAAGAUUUACAUACAAAACUACUUCAUACCAGGAUCCUGUUGUAGAGGUAAAUUAAUUAUUACCUUACAUACAUAACUAUAGUUAUUGAUUAUUAUUUUGGUAAAACGUAUUUGGCCGCCGUUCAUGUUGUAAUCAUCCUUGAAGGCCAAACUGAACCCUAGCCUUCUCAUCUUGUAAGCUUUCUUUUUUCCUCUCUCUUUGAUUUUUCUAUGUGUUUCGUUUUCCCCUCUCUUUGCUGCCUCUGUGGUUGGACAUACAACAUGCUUGCAGUGUUCAGUUAGUAGCUACUGAAUUCUGAUAUUGAUCACUUGCAAUGUUCAUGCUGCCUCUGUAGUUUUAGAGAUAUUUGUUAUUAUGCAUAAUUUAUUUUUCUUUAAAUUCAUCAGAUCUAUCUUCUUUCCCUCACUCCUAUGUUGGAAAUAGAAGUCCUGUAAAGCUGUUUAAUCUUUUUGCAUGUUCCUGAUUAUGAGAUGUAUACUGAAAUUAUAACCUAGAUUAACUAUGAACGUGCUGAUAUAAUCAUCUUGAAAUUGAAGAUGACCAUAGCAAGUUGUAAUUCAUUGUGAUCAAGGAUCAUGUGAAUGAUUUGAAUAUUUCCUCUACUUCCAGUGAGCCCUGAUUGUCUUCUCCAGCAAAGCUCAACUGUAGAAGAUUCAAUUUCAUUCAAAUUUUCUGAUGGUAUAACUGAAUCAGUUCCAUGCUCAUACACUGAAUUUGCCGAGCGACUGGUGCUGCGGCAGUAUAAAAAUUUACCUGACACAGAGGUUAAAGAGUUCCAUAGAAGAGAUGGUUUCGAGGUAGCAAGUGCUGACAAGAUGGCUAAGUCAUGCAUGGUUUAUUUUGAAAUGCAUCUAUCCCUAAGGAAAAAAAUAAUUACAAAAGCUUUUAAUGGUAGUUAUAGUAUCUACAAGGAAACUUUUUGUAACUAGGUCUAUUGCCUUUUUGUUUGAGUAACUGGACAUGUAGGUACAAUAAUUGGUAAUGAAGAUAUCGAUAGUAUUAGGUGGCCUGGUUCUGAAUGGAGACGUCUCAAGGGGAAUUGAUGAUGUGGUGGUGAGAAUGAUGUAUGGGGAGUAGAACUACCAGGAGGAUUGUUGUUGUUGAAGAUGACAAGAGAGCUGAAAGAGGAAUGCCGAGCUUCAAUUCUGAGUUACCCAAUUCCAAUUCAUGGGUUGAGGAUGUUACAAGAGUUUGGGAUCCUUGCUGACCAGUGACUAGGGUUGAGGAUUUUACCAAGAGUCGAAGACCGUUGCUGCUAGAAUGUCAAGGUAAAGAGAAACAUUGUUAAUUAGUAUCCUUUUAAUGUAAAAAAAAGGAAGAUUUUAUGUAUAAGCGGAGCUUCACAAAGGUACGUAGCAUUUAUGAUUUAACUUUUUGUUGGGUUGACUUGGUUUUCUUCAAUUUUGUAGAAGGUACUAAGAUGUAGGCAUGCUAGAUCCUUAUUACUUGACUGUUGACUGUUCAAGCAUUCUGGUAAUAUUGAUUUCAUAUGGCUUAUACUCAUUUCAAGCUUUCUCGUAAUACUCAUUUCAUAACGGCACUUAAAAUUUUUUCAGUUGGAUGGAAAGGCUACUUGUGUUUUACUUAUUUCAUAUGGCUUAUACUCAAUUGGAUGGAAAGGAUACUUAAUUUUUUUUGUUUUUCUACUCUACUCUAGGUCCAUUCUAGGUUUCUCUUUGAGUCCUAGCUUGCUUUUGUGUGCUUUUCAUUGCUUUAAUUG